AACGAACGCUGGCGGCAUGCCUAACACAUGCAAGUCGAACGAGACCUUCGGGUCUAGUGGCGCACGGGUGCGUAACGCGUGGGAACCGUCCCUUAUGUUCGGCAUAACUCCCCGAAAGGGGUGCUAAUACCGGAUAAUGUCUUCGGACCAAAGAUUUAUCGCCUUUGGAUGGGCCCUCGUUGGAUUAGCUAGUUGUUAGGGUAAAAGCCUACCAAGGCGACGAUCCAUAGCUGGUCUGAGAGGAUGAUCAGCCACACUGGGACUGAGACACGGCCCAGAAUCCUACGGGAGGCAGCAGUGGGGAAUAUUGGACAAUGGGCGAAAGCCUGAUCCAGCAAUGCCGCGUGAGUGAUGAAGGCCUUAGGGUUGUAAAGCUCUUUUACCCGGGAUGAUAAUGACAGUACCGGGAGAAUAAGCUCCGGCUAACUCCGUG
rnacentral:rRNA from 1 species